GACGAACGCUGGCGGCGUGCUUAACACAUGCAAGUCGAACGGAAAGGCCCUGCUUUUGUUGGGUUCUCGAGUGGCGAACGGGUGAGUAACACGUGAGUAACCUGCCCUUGACUUUGGGAUAACUUCAGGAAACUGGGGCUAAUACCGGAUAGGAGCUCCUGCUGCAUGGUGGGGGUUGGAAAGUGUCGGCGGUUGGGGAUGGACUCGCGGCUUAUCAGCUUGUUGGUGAGGUAGUGGCUUACCAAGGCUUUGACGGGUAGCCGGCCUGAGAGGGUGACCGGCCACAUUGGGACUGAGAUACGGACCAGACUCCUACGGGAGGCAGCAGUGGGGAAUAUUGCACAAUGGGCGGAAGCCUGAUGCAGCAACGCCGCGUGCGGGAUGACGGCCUUCGGGUUGUAAACCGCUUUCGCCUGUGACGAAGCGUGAGUGACGGUAAUGGGUAAAGAAGCACCGGCUAACUACGUG
rnacentral:rRNA from 1 species